GCGGCACGCGGGGGCGCGAGGACGGCGGGAAGGCCGACACAGCAGAUGCGUCUUAAUCGCUCCCAUCGGCUCGGCCUGACCCUUCCCGGAGCCUCGCGCGGCGGCUCGCAAGACAAGGGCUGGCUCCGGCUGCCCCCGGCCCCGAGCCAGCUGCUGCGCGGGGUCCCCGUUCCCCCGGCCCGAGUCCUGCGGACGGACUGACACCGGCGCAGCAGCGGCACCUGGAUGGGGAGAGCUGCACAGACUGGCAGGGGAUUACACUUUAACCCAGUGCCUUCCUGAGAGCACUCAUAAGGCCGCUAGCAUGUUCUCCAGCCUUGUCUAUAUGGAUUUCAAAAGCUCUGUUUCUCCAAGUAACGCUUCAGCAUCCUUUGUGAUGGGAUCCAUUGUGUGUGAGCAUCAUCAUCAGUCUCUAAGACAAGUUUUUUUUAAAACUUUCAAUAUUUGCGAAGAGAUUGCUAGAUAUGAGGUCUCAGUCCAGAGCUGCUCUGGGUGCAGAACUACUCCAAUGAAGAGAUCGGUCAGCAGAGCAGCUGUAGAAUAUUGCCCAUAUUGAGGGCAUGUACUGUGUACUGAGGAGUGGGCAUUUAAACCAAUCUCCAUUGUAACAUAAUUGAUGAAAAGCACCUGCUAUCAGAUUCUCAGCUGGUAUAAAUCAGCAGACCUCCAUUGACCUCAAUGGAGCUGCAGGAUGCUGAUUUGUACCAGCUGAGGAUCUGGCCCCUGAAUUUUUGUGAGUUCAGGUUCUGCAGACAGAUGGUUAUGAUCUGACAACACUGUAUUGCAACUCAAAUACUGCCACAUCAUGCCCAGAGAGUCUUGUGCUUUGGGAUCCCAUUCCAAAAGAGGGGGAGAAGCUUGGAUUCUGGUUAUGAUUCUUUAUAGUAAGAAGAUAAACUUGUCUUGUUGCAGCUAUGCUUAAAUCUAGCCUUCCAACCAUGGGGUUAAAUUCUGUGUUGCUUAUUCAGACAAAACUAUCUUUGAGGUUUAUGGAAUUAAGAACCACAGAAUUUGUCUAAGAGCUGUUGGAUCAUACCCCAUUUCUGACCUCAAAAACUUUUUACUUUCAUUCCUGAUUUUUCUUUUUGUAGAGAUUGUCUCCUGCACCAAAAUGUGUGAUGGUUUUGUGAUGUGGAAAAACAUUUACUGGGACUAGUUUAAAAUGACAUGAUAUUCCUUGCCUUUGUGAUCUAAGCCAAAUUUGAACCCAGGUAUUCAUUCUUCAUUUGAACACAGACAUUCUCUUAUUCUCCAAUCUAAUCACUUAUACUCUUGUAUAACUUGUGCUGGAAGCACACUCUGGUAUUUUGGCUCUGAAAUGAUUUCAUUGUUAGGCUGAGUGUGACACAGAUGGUAUUCUUAAAUGUAAAAUUCUUUUUAUGAUUCUUGCAAUUUCAUACUUAUUUCAUUAGCUCAUUAUUUAUGUUAAAGGGACAUCAUCAACUUGAAAUCUGCUUAGUUUAAAAAAAAAAAAAAAAGGUUGAAAGUAGUUUGAGGUACCUGCCUCACAAUCUGCCAGGUUUUGUGGUUUCAGUACCACAUUUUUUUUAUUUUAAAAAUGUUUUUGUAUCCCUAGCUGCUGUGUGACAGAUUCACACAAACAACAAUGGGAAAGAGUCUCAUUUAAGGGAUUAUAGGUGAGAAGCAGUGAAACUGACUAUGCACAAAGUGCUGUGAAAUGCACACAAUAAAGAAAAUGAAGAAGAUAAAAAAUAAUUUCUUUUUGCCAAUCUCUUUUAGUUAGACUAAUGUUAGGUGUUACUUGUAAUUUCAGUAGGGAAACAAUUUUCAGAUAGAAAUGUGAUUUCUAUCCAAAGCUGUCUCUUUAGUACACAAGUAUAGUUAUUAAAUAAACAUUAAUUAUGAUAGCUGCAAUUACUCAUUCAGAUCAAUAAUCAGAACCAGGAGCGAACCAAACCAUAGCAACUUUAUUUUUCCAUUAACUAUAGUGUGAUUUAAAAUAAAUUCAAAUAGCCCUAACCAUUCAGCCCCAUCUGCUAGACAUGAAAAGUCACUUUAAACCCAAUGCAGAUCGUGAAAAAAUGGGAGAAGAGGUGUUCAAAAGAUACAGCAUAUGAGGAAAGCUCCUCAGAUGGUGUAAAUCCGUGCUGCUCUCUUGAAGUCAACAAAGCUAUGUUGAUUUACCCCAGCUGAGAUCGUAGCCUGACAUUUUUAAGUGCCAGGUGUUAUGGUGAGUUUGUCCAUUGGGUCAUAUACUGAUCCUGUUCAUUAAGGUUAAGUGGUGAAUGUGAUAUUUUUCAUUUUAAUCAGGACAAGGGAAGUAAAUGCUGUCAGGAAAAAUCUAAUUUGAGGAUUUUGUUUUCCUGGAAACUGGGGGCUGUUUGCCUGAAUUGUAUGGCGUUUUUGUUUUGUCCUGUCUGUGUUCAGUGGGCUGAAUCCUCCUCUGACUGACAUGCCUUGCAACCCCACUAAUUUUGAUGUCUGACAGGUCUGUUUUAAUCUGUUUAAUCUGUUGGAACUCCCACAGCAGGAUCUGUAGAAGAUUUUUCUUUCUGUCCCCUGUCUGAGGUGCAGACUCUAUUGUCUGUGUGUUGGGGAGCAGGGUUCCACUGUGUUAGAAAAUCUUUUUGCUUCAGGCCCAAGGGAAAAGUGAUAAAGAAUUAAAAGGGAGGGACUAUAGCUAUGGUUAGUACUGAAUGCUGCUACUAUUGCGCCCUAUGCACUCAGCAAAUAUUUAGCCUCAUAGCAACAAGAAGCCUUUUUUUUUUUUUAAAUUUCCAAAGUUAAAGGGUAGAUUGUAUCUGACCACUGCAUGUUUGCACAAGUGUAGGGGAGGGCAUGAAAAGUCUUCACUGCUCUCAUUCAGUGGCUGAGAACAACUGUCCCUAAGAGCAGGGACAACUGCUCCCUUCUAGUGCUCCCUAGCUAGGCACUAGCUACCCCAAAAGGGAGGGGAAAAGGAGGCGAUAGGGUUAAGUUCCCCAUCCCUGCACAUACAUGCAAGCAAAGACAUGCUGCACCCCUUUAAAGGUUGUAGUGGAGGUAUGCUCUCCCUGUAGAACAAGGGCGAGCUUUGCAAGAUGUUUUUCCUACAUAAAGCACAAUGCCUCCUGUGUUCUCCCUGGGGAAGUAAAGUUGUGCAAAGCCCUUUACGCAGGGCAGUGCCUAUCAAGUCCAGCAGCACUCUAGGACUGCAUUGGAAUGCACUCAGGAGAGAGCUGAGCUCACCCUGUGCUGGGGGUCAGCUGUAACUUUGGUAUUUCCUGAUGUUGCAGGGCUUUACUCUGAAGCCUGAACAUUCUUCUAACAGUUUUUAAAAAAAUGAAUUAUGUUAUAUUUCCCCAGCCGAGUAGAGCUGGCUGAAGCUCGAAAGGAGGUUCAGUCUAGAUGCACACCCAUAUGUUCGGAUGCAUAUCUGAACCUUGUCUGAACUGUCCACACUGCUUGUACUGGAAAAACUAGACAAUAAGCGUGAUGAGAAUAGGCUUUCAUGCAAGAUGUUUAAUAUCCAUUUGGGACAGAAAUAUUGCAAAACCAGCCUCUGUGGCCCUGCUGCCUUCAGUCUUCAUCUUGAGUGAAAUUAUGAAAUACAGAAGUGCAGAAAAUAAAAAUAGCGGGUGAGUGAAGGGAAAUUAAUCUCCGUUUUUCCAACCCCAAUAAAAGUUAGAUUAGGGUUUAGUUCAGGCUUUGAUUGAAAUUUUAGUAGCGGUGGUGAUGGAGGAAAGAAUGUUUUUGUUUUAGCGGAAUUGGUUCAUCCAUCCUUGAUAUGCUUAUGGUUAAGUCUGUGCCCACUGCUACGAUGCAAUGUAAAAAAAAGUCUGUACUUCUUCUUUAAGAGCUGUCCCUUCUGAGAAAAUUAGGGCUGACUAUAAUGGGGCCUGUCUCUAUUGUAUGCAAGGGAAUGUGGCAUAACACCAGUAGGAAGAGAGAGGCUUCUGUGGUGAGUCUUGCUGCUCAUUGUCCUCAAAAGCAGGUGUAUCAUCUAUGUCUGUUGCCUGGGUAUGUUUCUGAUUGUUAAUUAAACAAAUAUAUUAGUACAAUACAAAUACUGGGUGACACUGCAUUUUAGCCAAGAGUUUUAUCCUUCCUCUGCACACUGGGGAUUUCUUUUCUAGUACUCCUGAUUCAGAUUAGUUUAUUUCUUGGUGGCACCAUAAUCAGUGGAAUUAUUUCUAUUUUUAUUCCCAUUACAAAAGUUUCAGUGUCAGUUAAUAAGUGGUCAGGAAAACAAAGACCAUAUUUACGGAACAAAAUCCUCACUUUUUUGUUGAGUGGUAAAUUAAUAAAUGGUAAUGAUAAUUGGUAAUUGUAAUUAAUGCUAAUGGUAAUAAAUGGUAAAUUAAUUUAGGGAUCUAGCUAAAAAAUUGUAGCUAAAAAUCCAGACUCCACUCUGGCCUGAGUGAGCUUGGGAGAUGCACAGUGGCAGGUGGGGAGAAAUUUCCCUCCCAGGCCACAGUAUAACUUUGGUGUUGCUCCAUGAAUCUACGUCAGCCCAGUGAGUAACAUUGUCUGUGGGGGGCAUUCACACUGCAUCCCCAGUCAGAUACAGUUCUCCUGGCCUCACCCUGUUCUCAGACUGCCCAUGCUCUGUCCCCUCCCACUCCCUUCAUGCUGUUGCAUGGACACUAUCUUGCUCACAUCCAGUUUGUCUUGAACAGCAGAAUGAUUCCACAGCACAGAGGCCCUUGGCAGUUGUAGAGGAGAGGCCUGGAUUUAUCCAUUAACAUACUAAGGACUAAAUUCAAUCCUGAGUUAAGGAUCCAUGAUGCUUCACUGAAACCAUUGUGGGUAGCACGGAAUGACUAUCAGGGCCGAAUUUUCCCUAACAGUCUGAGUUACACAUACAUACACUUCGAUCUUCUCAAAAAGCAUUUAAGUAAGAACUGACCUUUCUAUGUCAGUUGUGAAAAAACAUAUUGGCUGGGUUUGGAGAGGUAUACAAACUAGGAAGCUGGACAUAGACAAAUGUACAUUUUUUCCUAAGAACACGUUUACAGCUGGAAUUCUCCCCAGCAUUACAGUUAAAGGGAGUAGAUGUGGUUAUAGUGUUCAGUGACAAUACCUGUAAAGCUCCUUCCUAACAUGUAAUGGGAUGUGAGGCCUUUGAUUUUAGUCGUCCCAAAAACAUUAUUUCCAUUGAAAUGCCUGCUCCUGAAAAGUUGCAGUCCUUCAUGUGUAUGGUGCACAAACGACAGAGUUGUGUUGUGGCUCUUUUAAACUGUAUUAAAGUGGAUGUAAAAUAGGCACAAUGUCCCUCCACCCUUAGGAGUACCCCUGGCAUAUGGGGCCUCUCAGCCAGCCAUAGAACCAGCUUAGCCACCUCCAUGCCCUCUGCAGGCAGGACAUUUCUGUGCCCCAGAUAUUCUCUGGUAGUGCCAUGGCCCACAGGGAGACCUUAACAGCUGGAGCACUAGUUAAGGCAGCCUUCAGGAAGGCUAUGUCUACACUACAGCCUGUGUCGGCAUAACUUAUGUCAUUCAGGGGUGUGAAUAAACCACCCCCUUGAGCAACAUAAGUUACACUGACAUGAGCACUCGUGUGCACAGUGCUAUGUCCGUAGGAGAGCUUAUGCUACUCGCGGAGAAGGGGUUUUUUUUAUGCUGACAGGAGAGCUCUCUCCCAUUUGCAUAGAGUGUCUUCAUCGGACGCGCUGCAGUGGUGCAGUUGUAUUACCGCUGCAGUGCAGUACGUCUAGACAGACCCUAAAACUUGCUCAGUAGAACUUAAUCAGCAAAUCUGAGCACUGAAGGCUGAAGUGACCCCCAACAGCUCCAGGAUAGGGGAGGUGCAAGCUGCCCUUUCUUCAUUGUAUUUGUUUAUGGCUUCUUAGAGGUGUAUGGAUAUUGGAGGGGGAAAAACUGGUUAAUGGUAUCUGACCUGCUUUGUGGUGAUAGUGAAAAACUUGGAGACACUCCUACAGUCUUGUCCACCGUGGACUCAAUUCUGUCAUUUGUACUCACAUUAAGUAGUACUCUCCAAGUAGUUCCAUUUUUUUCAGUAGGCCUACUUGCAAAAAUAGGCCCUGAUCCUGCAAACACUUACAUGAGUGCUUAACUUAGAUCCAUUCAUGGGACCUAGACGCAUUCUGAAAACUAAAAGGUGCAUAAGUGUUUCCAGGAUCCGGGCUUUCGAACUUACUCAAGCCCCAGUGGAAGUGAAGUUGGCAGAAUACGGUGGAGUGGGGUGAGAAAAUUAGUGAACACAAAAUCAUGAUAUUUACUCAGUUUAUGCAUUUUUCUACUUUUUUCAUGAAAACUUGCAUACAAAACAGGCACAUAAUUGUUUUGCUAAGUGAGCCUUGAAAGUAAGAGUCUUGAUAGCUGUUAAGUAUCUCCUUUCUAGUACAGUAUGUUGUCCUUAUAAGCUAAUCAGUAAAACUUGCUCGGUAGAACUUAAUCAGCAGAACUGAGCACAUUGUCAGUGCUUCACAAAUACUACUACUAAUAAUAAUUAAUAAUUAGUAAUAACAUGAGCUCCUUUUAACACAACCUAUCAGACUUUUGCUUUAUUUUGAGGAGGGCUUUACUUGCCUCUAGUUAACUUAAGAAUUAAUAUUUAUUACAGCUCUAUUUACAACACCCAAGAGGAAUUUGAGUAGGAAGGAAAAUAUUGAUAAAAAUUAAAUUUUGACAAAUAUCGGAAAUGAAAUUCAGAGAAAAUUAUCAUGCUGUUUCAUGCAUCAAGCAACAGUGCAUUUAGUAUAAGGUUCUGAAAGAACAGUAAUUUUCAUACAAGUAAGUAUCCAUAUUAUUGCUAAUAAAACUGGAUCUGAACAAUUGUUUGAAAUGUAAAACACUAUAUUUGUAUGUGAUUGUUAUUAGAAUUACCUUUGAUCUCCUGCUGUUCUCUUCUUUAAAAGUUUUCCUUAGAAUGUUGUGACUUAUAUAUGUUAUAAGAGAGGGAUUGGAUGGCUCAGAGAAUUGGUAAUGGAUCCAGAGCUGUUCACUUCUGCAUCACCCCUCUAAUUUAACACAGGCUGGCAGUGACUGAAAGUUAAUCUAAUGGCUGUUUGGUAGUUUAUGUGAAAUCGAUUCGUGGUUUACAUGCAGUUCCAACAGGACAAGAAUUCACAUUGUAAACAAAUCUCUGGGCCAGAUCCUUAGCUGCUUUUAAUCAUUGCAGCUCCAGUGACUUCAAUGGAGCAAUGGUAAUUUACACCAAUAAAUGACCAUCAAUCACAGCUGGCACUAGUUAACGUGUGUUGUCAGGCUCAAUAUAGAUGACAGUGACUCAGUGAGGAGGGAGAUUAUGGGCAGAUUCUCAGCUGGUGUAAACCAGUGUCAUACCAUUGAAGUCAAGGUAACUAUAUACUGAUUUACCAGCUGAGGAUCUAGCACUAAAUGCCUAUAGGUGGACAUGUCAGGUCAAGUUUGAGCCACAGUUAGAGCAGUUAGAGUUGCUUGCACCACUGAUGUUGUGCUGUACCGGGUGUUUGAAUAUAAAGAGAACCUUAAUAUUCAGGGCUGUCAACGAGUGUUAACUUACAAGCAACAAAAUUUACUGAUUUAUUUUAAAAUCUUGUGGAAAAAAUUCUAGGGACUAAUUCUACUCCCACUGAAGUCUGAUGUGUAUGAGAUAUUGUGGUGCUAUUGGUAAAAUAUAAGUGAAAGUCCUAAGUAAGUGUUAUCAGAUCUGUCCUUUUCUUGAUAUGUGUGCAUUGUCCUGACAAAUACUCAAAUGUGAGUUGCAUAUGUGUGAUAAGGAGAGAAGAGGUCCCUAUGAACACAAAUAAACUCUGCUCAUGAAAAGCAGCAGUAUUUUGCAGGGGUAGCCACAAAUGCUGCAAUACCACUGCUGGGGUGAACACAUAUUUAAUGUAAAACAAUAUUGUUACCUAGAAUUUAAGCUUUCCAAGGAAGGGGCUUUUGGUCCAGAUUUUAAAAGAUAUUUAGGUGCCUAAAGAUGCAGAUAGGCAUCUAAUGGGAUUUUCAAAGCAGGAUUGCUGCUUCACAGUUGGGGAAUAUGAUCCCUUAUCCCUUAUACUUAUAUUUGUCUUUAAAAGCACCUAGCACACAAUUGAUGCUAUAUAUAUAUAUAUAUAUAUAUAUAUAUAUAUAGUAGAUAACAACAAGGGUUAUAAGAAGGACUAUACAAGUAAUCUAAUAAUGUGUGUACUACUGAGGACUCUUGACACAUACAUACCAAUUCUUAUGAAUGAAUAUUGUAUUGUGAAACCCUAACUACAUGAAUUGCAGAUUGAUUCUUUUGUAAGCUAUGCUUGGUGGCGUCAUUCAAUGGAAAUAGGGAAAAUCCAGAGAACAGGAAGGUCCUGAAACACAACACAAGUGGAUCAUUUCCAAUCAUCAGCAGGUGGGAGCGGGAAGGAUUGAAAACUUGCACAGGAGUGCAUGCCCCCUGAGAGUGUCAGAGUCUGUUCUGUUGUGGACUAUCCCUACUGCAGGAUUUUGAUGGUGGGUGUAGUUUUGGGGAGGAGCAGGAGUAGGGAGUAGUUGUGAUAGCAUAGAGUAGGCGUCAGCAGUGGAUCUACCAUUGUGUAGAUUCACUGACCGUUGAUCCUGGAAGAAUAAGGAUAAAGCAGUAGAGUUGGUGCAUCACAGCUAGGGAGCAAGAGUCCUUUUCCCCACCCUCAGUCUCAUCAUCAAGCUAGGUUACUUAGGUUUGGGACAGGAGAAAGGAUUUGGUUCAGAACGAGUAACUGUAUAAAGUGCUUCUCAUGUAAAAUAUUAGCUUAAUUGCUUAGUAAACAUAUAAUGAUUUUAAGGAAAAUCAGUAAAAACAUGUCCGCAAAGGACACACCAACCUGAGGACUACAAGGGAGUUUUAAUUAAAAUAGCAGGUAAAAAAAAGUGUGAUGCAAUAUUAUUAUUUCCUAACAUAUCAACAAAGUACAAAUGCCUAUUUUUAGUGCAAU